rnacentral:rRNA from 1 species
UGCAGUCGACGAUGAACCACUUCGGUGGGGAUUAGUGGCGAACGGGUGAGUAACACGUGGGCAAUCUGCCCUGCACUCUGGGACAAGCCCUGGAAACGGGGUCUAAUACCGGAUAUUGACCUUCACGGGCAUCUGUGAGGUUCGAAAGCUCCGGCGGUGCAGGAUGAGCCCGCGGCCUAUCAGCUUGUUGGUGAGGUAAUGGCUCACCAAGGCGACGACGGGUAGCCGGCCUGAGAGGGCGACCGGCCACACUGGGACUGAGACACGGCCCAGACUCCUACGGGAGGCAGCAGUGGGGAAUAUUGCACAAUGGGCGAAAGCCUGAUGCAGCGACGCCGCGUGAGGGAUGACGGCCUUCGGGUUGUAAACCUCUUUCAGCAGGGAAGAAGCGAAAGUGACGGUACCUGCAGAAGAAGCGCCGGCUAACUACGUGCCAGCAGCCGCGGUAAUACGUAGGGCGCAAGCGUUGUCCGGAAUUAUUGGGCGUAAAGAGCUCGUAGGCGGCUUGUCACGUCGGUUGUGAAAGCCCGGGGCUUAACCCCGGGUCUGCAGUCGAUACGGGCAGGCUAGAGUUCGGUAGGGGAGAUCGGAAUUCCUGGUGUAGCGGUGAAAUGCGCAGAUAUCAGGAGGAACACCGGUGGCGAAGGCGGAUCUCUGGGCCGAUACUGACGCUGAGGAGCGAAAGCGUGGGGAGCGAACAGGAUUAGAUACCCUGGUAGUCCACGCCGUAAACGGUGGGCACUAGGUGUGGGCAACAUUCCACGUUGUCCGUGCCGCAGCUAACGCAUUAAGUGCCCCGCCUGGGGAGUACGGCCGCAAGGCUAAAACUCAAAGGAAUUGAC